AUGAAUCCAGAAGUCGAAAGAAGGAAAGUAGGGGACAAGAGAAAAAUUCAGAUUUUCGCCCAAAUACUUGAUGGAUUCCUCUGGCCUAUCGAGUGCUUUAAACUUUUCAAGGUUUUUGAACUUGCAAUUCGUAGAUUUGUGGCCCAUCUACUUUGGAUCAAAGUAGAAGGAAGGUAUCUUGUGAAGUUGGUAUUGUGCAUGUAA